UUGUGGGCAUAGCGGUAAAUCAGAGCCCCUCACCCUGAGGUUUGACUCUACCAGGUGAUACCUCACGUGAUUUCCCGUAGACAAUAUCAUCCUUAAUUAGCUGGAGGGAAAAAUCUUUCUUUCCCAAGAAGUAACGGAAGAACCAAAAUAUCCCUAUCCCAAAGAUUUAAUCUUUUUUCUGCAGAGCUUAGCCCAAGAUAGAAACAGCAGUUUCAUAAGAGCUCAUUUACAUUGUGCUGGUGGAAGGAGGUGACGUGGUGUCAUGGAACGUGCUUGAUCUUUGCGGUCGGGCAGACUUGGAUUCCAGUUCUAGCUCCUGCACGCACUGGCUGGGGCGUCUUGCAAGCAAGGGAACCAGGACAAUGGAGUCAACCUCUAUCAUGUCAGUGAAUUAACCUUCCCAUGUCCACUUUGAAUUUAUUGACUUGAAUCUUCACUCUUCAACGGGCACUGAUACAAUUAAAAAAUCUUAAGGAAGGCAAGAUAAGAAGAAAGGACCAUUCUAGAAGUCUUGUAAAUUCAUGUGGUAGCUCCUGCCAAGAUGAAUUCUUCUGAGGAUAAAUCUUAUUUUAAAAGCUACAUGGUUUUUGACUUAGAAUUAAUCAUUUGAUGUGACAAUGAAGUAAUUGCAUCUGUUUCUACAAAGGUCAAGUUUUAAAGAGACACUGCAAUGAAAUCUUAUAAAGAGAACCCAUCCAAGGAGUACAACCCCUGCUUCUGAGCUCGGUGUUGCCCAGUUAAGGAUCUUCAGGGAAGCAGCUUUGCAACUCCCCUGGGGGUUCUGACCCAGGCUCCUGUGUAAACAGAGAGCAAGUGGGCAAAUGCACUAAGCUAUUAGAAAUUAUGCCACUAGAGCAUUGUUGAUGGGAAUUGUGAGUGAUUUAGUCUGCUUGGAGAUACCGAACAACAUCCAGCAGCAGGUUGCUAUGGCAACGUUGCUCUUACCGUAGUAACUUUAAACAAAACCAUCUCAAGGGCAGAAUAAUUAGUCUGGACACUAGAAGCCUGAAAUCAAGGUGUCAGCUGGUCCAUGCGCUCCCUGAAGCCUCUGGAGAGGAUCAUUCCUUGUCUCGUCCAGCUUCUGAUGGUUGCUGGCGAUCUUUGAUGUUCCUUGGCUUGUAGACACAUCAUUCCAAUUUCUGCAUCCGUCAUCAUAUGGCAUUCUCCCUGCAUGGCCCUGUGUCUACAUUUCCCUCUUCUUAUCAGGACACCAGUCAUAUUAGACUAGGGACCACCCUAAUCCAGUCUGACCUCAUGUUAACCUGAUGACAUCUACAAAGACUCUGUUUCCAACUAAGGCCAUAUUCACAGGUCCCAGGGGUAAGGAUUUCAGCAUGUCUUUUUGGGGACACAAUUCAACCUCCAACAACUAAUUAGGUCAUAUGGCCUUCUUUAUAGAGGUGAAGCCCCUCUGAACUGGGACUCACCUGUUUGCUGGGAUCUCAGUUCCAAGGGCACUCUAUCUCCAUUUUUCCACCUGUGUUCCUAUUUGAAAUGGGAUAAAUACAAUCUAGUGUGUAAGGUUUGUUGGAGGAAUUAAAAGAAAUUAUGUCUGAGACAGCUCAACUAAGGCAACAUUUCACAAAGCUGAGUCUGAGAAGACACACUGUCUAUCUGCCUGUCAUUUUCAGCCACAUGAAAUGUACUACAAAGGAUUUUUUCCUAAAGAAGGGGUCUCACAGGGGAAAUUACAAGCAGAAGUUAUCAUCAUUAUCUGAAACAAUGUAGCUGCUUUGCCACUAGGUGAGUGCCUUUAGAUUUAGGUGUUGUCUUGUUCUGCUGGUUUUCUGCUUGGGUUUCCAAGGCUGUCAUCUAAAUACAAAUUUAGAAGUUGCCUCAGGAACAUCCUGUGAGUUGGUCUCAUGCCUCCUGGGGCUCCAGCUGGUUGGAGAGAACAGCACCCUGACUAAGGAGACAGUAAGGCACAUGCGAACAGAGUCUGAUGUAAGGACUUGGGCUGUCUUCUUGGAGCUGCCAUGAAUUUGCUGUGUGACCCUUAUUUAAUAAGCCAACUUCUUCUUCUAAGGCUCAGUUUCCCUGUCUAGAAAUUGUGAUAAUAAGCCGUCUCAGUUCCUAACACUUAAGGAUCAUCACGCAGAACUGAUCCAUCAAUGUUCGACUUCUCUGGCUCUAACCUGGAACGUGAUAGUCAGCAACAGUUGUGUUUAUCCUUCAUUAUUGGCAUGAA